rnacentral:tRNA from 1 species
UCUAAAAUGGCAGAUAGAUGUAUAAGACUUAAGAUCUUAUAAGGAGAGAUUUCUCUCUUUUAGAA